GGUCUUCGUUGCCACCUUCGUUGUUGUGAUUUUCACUGACCUGUCGGAUGGAGAAGAGGGAGCAGAGGAACCCGGGGAGACACAGGGCGGCCAUGGCGAGGGGAGCACGGCAACCGUCCGGGUAAUCCGGACUACCCAGUACCAACGGAAACGAUGGAGACCUUACCGGUUGGGCAGCUUAUCGGCUCUGAGUCGAGGGCUGAUGAAGACCGUGAGUCCUCUGCCGGAGAAGAGAGAAGAAGGCACCUCCCGCCAGGUGAGAGAAGCCGAUGCCAAUGGACCCCCUUUUCCUGGUGCGUUCUGGGACUCCGGUGUCCCACCCCAUAGUGGGCAAAGAGCCUCUGGAAUCUUCCCUGCUCUGGAGUUAAGAAGAGAGAAUCGAGCGGGGGACCCCGCAACGUAAUUGUGGGAGUGGGUGCAUUUGCCUGCUGGGUUUGGGGGUCUCUGUCCACCCAAGGCGGAUUUUUGGGCUUUUCAACCCACAGCAUGAUGGGAGAUUUCCUCCAUGGUGGAAAUAUUUCAUCA